GACGAACGCUGGCGGCGUGCCUAAUACAUGCAAGUCGAGCGGACAGAAGGGAGCUUGCUCCCGGAAGUUAGCGGCGGACGGGUGAGUAACACGUGGGCAACCUACCCUGUAGAUCGGGAUAACAUCGAGAAAUCGGUGCUAAUACCGGAUAAUCAUUUGAAGUGCAUGCUUCGAAUGUAAAAGAUGGCUCCGGCUAUCACUACGGGAUGGGCCCGCGGCGCAUUAGCUAGUUGGUAAGGUAAUGGAUUACCAAGGCAACGAUGCGUAGCCGACCUGAGAGGGUGAUCGGCCACACUGGGACUGAGACACGGCCCAGACUCCUACGGGAGGCAGCAGUAGGGAAUCUUCCGCAAUGGACGAAAGCCUGACGGAGCAACGCCGCGUGAGUGAUGAAGGUUUUCGGAUCGUAAAGCUCUGUUGUUAGGGAAGAACAAGUGCCGUUUGAAUAAGGCGGCACCUUGACGGUACCUAACCAGAAAGCCACGGUUAACUACGUGCCAGCCGCCGCGGUAACAC
rnacentral:rRNA from 1 species